GACGUAGGGCGCGAGCGUUGUCCGGAUUUAUUGGGCGUAAAGAGCUCGUAGGCGGCUUGUCGCGUCGAAUGUGAAAACCCACGGCUCAACUGUGGGCUUGCAUUCGAUACGGGCAGGCUAGAGUUCGGUAGGGGAGACUGGAAUUCCUGGUGUAGCGGUGAAAUGCGCAGAUAUCAGGAAGAACACCAACGGCGAAGGCAGCUCGCUGGGACGGUACUGACGCUGAGACGCGAAAGCGUGGGGAGCGAACAGG
rnacentral:rRNA from 1 species